CCUACGGGAGGCUGCAGUGGGGAAUAUUGCACAAUGGGGGAAACCCUGAUGCAGCGACGCCGCGUGAGUGAAGAAGUCUUUCGGUAUGUAAAGCUCCAUCAGCAGGGAAGCAAAUGACGGUACCUGUUUAAGAAGCCCCGGCUAACUACGUGCCAGCAGCCGCGGUAAUCCGUAGGGGGCACGCGUUAUUCGGAUUUACUGGGUGUAAAGGGAGCGUAGAUGGCAGCACAAGUCUGGAGUGAAAUGCCGGGGCUUAACCCCGGAACUGCUUUGGAAACUGUGCAGCUAGAGUGCAGGAGAGGUAAGUGGAAUGCCUAGUGUAGCGGUGAAAUGCGUAGAUAUUAGGAGGAACACCAGUGGCGAAGGCGGCUUACUGGAGUGUAACUGACGUUGAGGCUCGAAAGCGUGGGGAGCAAACAGGAUUAGAUACCCGUGUAGUC
rnacentral:rRNA from 1 species